CCAUGCAUGUCUAAGUAUAAGCAAUUAUACGGCGAAACUGCGAAUGGCUCAUUAUAUAAGUUAUCGUUUAUUUGAUAAUACUUUACUACUUGGAUAACCGUGGUAAUUCUAGAGCUAAUACAUGCUAAAAAUCCCGACUUCGGAAGGGUUGUAUUUAUUAGAUUAAAAACCAAUGCCCUCUGGGCUCUCUGGUGAAUCAUAAUAACUUGUCGAAUCGCAAGGCCUUGUGCCGGCGAUGGCUCAUUCAAAUUUCUUCCCUAUCAACUUUCGAUGUUUGGGUAUUGGCCAAACAUGGUGGCAACGGGUAACGGAGGGUUAGGGCUCGACCCCGGAGAAGGAGCCUGAGAAACGGCUACUACAUCCAAGGAAGGCAGCAGGCGCGCAAAUUACCCAAUCCCGACACGGGGAGGUAGUGACAAUAAAUACUGAUACAGGGCUCUUAUGGGUCUUGUAAUCGGAAUGAGUACAAUUUAAAUCCCUUAACGAGGAACAAUUGGAGGGCAAGUCUGGUGCCAGCAGCCGCGGUAAUUCCAGCUCCAAUAGCGUAUAUUAAAGUUGUUGUGGUUAAAAAGCUCGUAGUUGAACCUUGGGCCUGGCUGGCCGGUCCGCCUCACCGCGUGCACUGGUCCGGCCGGGCCUUUCCCUCUGUGGAACCUCAUGCCCUUCACUGGGUGUGACGGGGAAACAGGACUUUUACUUUGAAAAAAUUAGAGUGCUCCAGGCAGGCCUAUGCUCGAAUACAUUAGCAUGGAAUAAUAAAAUAGGACGUGUGGUUCUAUUUUGUUGGUUUCUAGGACCGCCGUAAUGAUUAAUAGGGACAGUCGGGGGCAUCAGUAUUCAAUUGUCAGAGGUGAAAUUCUUGGAUUUAUUGAAGACUAACUACUGCGAAAGCAUUUGCCAAGGAUGUUUUCAUUAAUCAGGAACGAAAGUUAGGGGAUCGAAGACGAUCAGAUACCGUCGUAGUCUUAACCAUAAACUAUGCCGACUAGGGAUCGGACGAUGUUAUAUUCUUGACGCGUUCGGCACCUUACGAGAAAUCAAAGUGCUUGGGCUCCAGGGGGAGUAUGGUCGCAAGGCUGAAACUUAAAGAAAUGACGGAAGG
rnacentral:rRNA from 1 species